rnacentral:rRNA from 1 species
CAGCCGCCGCGGUAACACCGGCGGCCCGAGUGGUGAUCGUGAUUAUUGGGUCUAAAGGGUCCGUAGCCGGUUUGGUCAGUCCUCCGGGAAAUCUGAUAGCUCAACUAUUAGGCUUUCGGGGGAUACUGCCAGACUUGGAACCGGGAGAGGUAAGAGGUACUACAGGGGUAGGAGUGAAAUCUUGUAAUCCCUGUGGGACCACCUGUGGCGAAGGCGUCUUACCAGAACGGGUUCGACGGUGAGGGACGAAAGCUGGGGGCACGAACCGGAUUAGAUACCCGGGUAGUCCCAGCCGUAAACGAUGCUCGCUAGGUGUCAGGCAUGGCGCGACCGUGUCUGGUGCCGCAGGGAAGCCGUGAAGCGAGCCACCUGGGAAGUACGGCCGCAAGGCUGAAACUUAAAGGAAUUGGCGGGGGAGCACAACAACGGGGUGGAGCCUGCGGUUUAAUUGGACUCAACGCCGGACAACUCACCGGGGGCGACAGCAAUAUGUAGGCCAAGCUGAAGACUUUGCCUGAAUCGCUGAGAGGUGGUGCAUGG